CAAUAGAUUUUUAUGUGUGAAGCUCUCUCUCCUUAGAAACCUUCUUGUGUAUAUGACUUACUACUACUCUUGUAUAUGUAUAUGACUUACUACUACUCUUGUGUGUGUGUGUAUGACUUACUAUUACUCUUGUGUCUUUAUAAACAUUCUCAACAUGUUAUCAACACGAUUCUCUUCUACACACUAUCACAAUUUUUUUUUUGAUCUAGCCUUGACUCUUCAAAUCUCUUGCUACUCUUGCUCAGUGUCUGCCUCAUGAUCUUGUUGCUCUUCUUGUUGGCCCUUCACACAUUAGCUGCUUACUUAGAGCACUUGUUCCACUCUCUGCCCUGCUUGCUUAGAAUACUUAUUUAGAAUACUUGAUCCAGUCCAACUCCACCCUAGCUUCCUCCCUGCUACGCCCCAGGCCUACUGCCGAACUCCCGCCAAACCCGUCGAGCUGCCGUCACUGCCACCCUGUCACCACCGUUGUCCAUUGCCAUCCUAUCGUCCUACUUCUGCUGCCAUUUUAUUGUUGUUCUGUUGCCUUAAUCCAUAAUCUCUCUCUCUCUCUCUCUCUCUCUCUCUCUAUAUAUAUAUAUAUAUAUAUAUAUAUAUAUAUUAUUUUUCAAGUUCAAGUUUAUCAUUUUAUUUGACUUUAUAUUUUAAGGUACGUUUUACUCAACUUUUCUACUUGAUCUUGUAUUUUCUUUACAGAUUUAUUUGUAAUGAGUGCUUCAAUAUCUUCAACUGCUUCUUCCAUGGUUCCAACUAUUACUAGUGCAUCCCAAAAUUUUCAAGCUCUUUUAUUUCCACCAUUGACUGUGGAUGGAAACAAUUAUCUAUUAUGGGUAAAAAUGGCAAAAGAAAAUUUAUUUGUAGAACAACUCUCCGAUGCCAUUAUGUUUGAAGAAUCUCCUACAAUAAGUAUUUCUAUGCUUCUUGCUAUUCAUUGAAAAGCACUUCUUCUCCUUCUUCGUCAUCUUGUACAUGUAUUACAACAUCAAUAUUUAGAAAUGGAAGAUCCUACAGAACUUUGGAAGAAUCUUAAAUCUAGGUUUGAUCAUCAAAAGACCAUUUUUCUUCCACAUGCACAUCAUAAUUGGACACAUUUAUGUAUCUUAGAUUUUCCAAAUUUAAAUGCUUUCAAUAGUAAAAUGUAUAGUAUUGUCUUACAAUUAUGAUUAUGUGGAUAAAGCAUUUUUGAAGAAGAAAUGAUUGAAAAAAAUCUCUCUACAUUUCCUCCUGUAUGUGCUGUGCUUACACAACAAUAUAUGAAUAUGAAAUUUCAGAGUCAUUCUGAUUUCAUGUCCUAUCUACUUCUUGCGGAGAAGCAAAAUGAGCUACUCUUGGGCAAUGUAGAAGCUCAUCCUAUUGGAACUACAGUUCUAGAAUCUCAUGCACUUAAUAUUUCAAAGUCUAAAAAGAAAUUAUAUAAACAUGGGAAACAUGCUCAUAAGUAUCAGAGUAGUCAUAGUCAUGACCAUUUCUACCUAUGUGGAAAGAAUAAACGUUCUACUAUUAAUUAUAGUAGGAAACAAAAAUCAGAGAUGCAUUCUUGCCAUAAGUGUGGAAUGAUUAGACAUUUAGCACAUGCGUGCCAUACUUCAAAAUAUUUUAUUAAAAUAUUCCAAAAAAAUAAGAAAUUAUGAACUAAGGCUCGUGAAGUUCAUACUAUGGAUGCAUCGAUGGAUUCAAUUGGUGUUGAUGACUUAGAGGCUUAUAUGAAUGAUAAAACCUCUAAUGAUGAAUCAAAUGAUGCACUCAUUGAUUUUGCAAUAACACAUACUAUCUUACGAGAUAAAAAAAAAUUUAUUGAAAAAUCUUUAACUUAGCAAACUAAAAAUAUGAUGACCAUGGCUGGAGCAAAUGCGUUUUGUUUCCAAGAGUUCACAACGAUGGUAAAAUUUCCUGCGGGUUCCAUCAUAAAAUGUAAACAUGCGAUGUUUGCAUCCUUAGCACCUCGGAGUCUGAUCAGCUAUCAAGAUGUGCAUAUUAAUGGUUAUCACCUCUCGACCGCCACUUUAAAUAGAAAAGAAGUUUUGGUUCUUACGAAGAACCAUAAAGUUGUUAAAAAAGCUUUUGCUACAGAAAAUGGUUUAUACCAAAUUGUGAUUUGGCCUCCCAUUAUAUUUAAUUUUGCAUCAUCUAUCACAGAGAGUCAUGUUUCUCUCUGGUAUGGACGAUUGAGACAUCCAAGAUCCACAUUAUUUAGAAAGAUCAUUCCAUGUAUAAUUAAAGAUAAUUUAAAGCUUGCGGAUGUAGAAUCUAUGGAAUUAUGUUAUACAUACGUACAAGGUAAAAUAAUUACUCGGCCUUCAAUUUGGAAACUUCCACAAGAAUUACCACCAAUGCUUGAAAGAUUACAUGGUCAUAUUUGUGGUCCUAUUAAUCCAAUAGCAAGACCAUUUCAUUAUUUUUAGGUCUUUGUUGAUGCAUCAGGUAAACAAUCACAUGUUUCAUUAUUAUCAACUCGAAACAUGGUGUUUGCCAAUCUUAUAUCUAUGUUUAUUCAUUUUUAGGCACAUUUUCCUAUAAAAUUGACUAAUCCUGGUAUUAUUUCUCAAGAAAUUGCCACUCAUCCUAUAGGACUACCAAUUCAUGAUAAUAUAUCCAUGCAUAUUGUAAUUUCAAUUCCUAUGAAAAACAAUCUUAGAAUUGGAAGGAAUAAGAAUAAAUUGAGUAAAGAAUUAUCUAUUUUGUAUUGUGCUACAGAUGAUAUUUGGAAUAGACCAUCUAUUAUGAUAGAUGAAUAAUUUGCAUAUAUGAUUAUAGAAGCCCUUUCUUCUGAGGAAGACGAUCUUGAAUCUCAAACCAUCUAGGAGGCGAUCCGUCGCUCUGAUUGAUCAAAAUAAAAAACUGCUAUUGACGAGGAGUAUGCUUCUUUGCGUAAGACAAAAGUCUUUGGCUAAAUUGUAGACACUCUUACAUCUCACCCUGUGGAAUAUAAAAUAGUAUUAAUACGCAGGCGAGAUGCUCAAGGUCAAAUAAUCCGCUGUAAAGCUUGUCUUGUUGCUCAAGGAUUUACUCAACGAUUUGGCAUUGAUUAUGAAUCUACAUAUUCUCUAGUCAUGGAUUCAAUUACGUUUUGAUAUAUUAUUAGAAUGAUAGUUCAUGCUACCCUGGAGAUGCAUUUGAUGGAUGUAGUAACUACAUAUCUAUAUGGUUCUCUUGAUGCAAAUAUUUAUAUAAAAGUUCCACGUGGCUUAGAAACAGGAACUCCAAAUUAACCCGCUCUAGGACAAUAUCGUGGUAUUAAGUUAUAUAAGGCCUUGUAUGGUUUAAAACAAUCCGGACACAUCUGGUAUCCACGUCUUUGAGAUUAUUUAAUUACAAAUAAUUUUAUAAGUGAUCCACUAAUCCCUUGUUUGUUUAUCAAACAAGAUAAAACUGGUUUUGUGAUCAUUGCUGUAUAUGUUGAUGAUCUUAACCUAGUGGGCUUUACAUUUGCAUGUAUUAUAGCUACUAACCUACUUAUACAUGAAUUUGAGAUGAAAAUGCUAGAAAAAAUAACUUUCUGCAUUGGUCUUCAGAUUAUGCAUUUAACAGAUGGUAGCAUUUUUCUCUACAAACUAAUAUAUAUUAGACAAAUCUUGCGAAGAUUUAAUAUGAUUGAUGCUUAUCCAUUAUCCACACCAAUGAUUGGACAUGGUCGUGAUAGUCAUGAUCCAUACCAUCCAUGUGAGGAGGAGGAUGAAAUAUUGUGAGAUCAAUAUCCAUACCUCAUAGCGGUUGGAGCACUUUUGUAUUUAGCUACAUCUGCAAGACCAGAUAUUGCAUUUGUACUUAGUGUUCUUGCAAGACAUAGUGUACGUCCAAUACUAUGACAUUGGAAUGGCAUCAAAUAUUUAUUACGUUAAUUAAAAGGUACUCAAGACUUGGGAUCAUACUACACACAAUCAACAGAUCCAAAAUUAGUUGGAUACUGAGAUGCAAGAUAUAAAUCUGAUACUGCAACAGCUAAAUCUCAAACAAGAUAUGUAUUUUUAAGAUAUGGAGCAGCAAUAUCAUGGAAAUCAGUGAAACAAACAAUAGCUGCAACUUCAUCCAACCAUGCAAAAAUUAUUGCCUUACAUGAAGCAUCUUGAGAAUGUAUUUGGUUGUGAUCAAUUGACAAAUUCAUUCAAACAACCUGUGGAUUUUCCAACUAUCUUGCAUGAAGAUAAUAGUGCUUAUAUUGCACAGAUGCAAGUUGGUUUCAUUAAAGGUGAUAGGACAAAGCAUAUUGUUCCAAAGUAUUUUAGUUAUAUCCAUGACUUGAUUAUUGAUCAAGCACUUAUAAUUAAAAAAAUUGAAUCUACAAUUAACCUUGCUGAUCUCUUCACCAAAGCUCUCCCAUUAAGCAACCGUCGUCGACUUACUUAUGGCAUUGGUAUGCGGCGAGUUGCUUUUCUUGAAUAAGAAAGUUAAUGAGCUCUUUAAAUAAUUAAAGAAAAUGAUGUUGUACUCUUUUUCCUUCAUCUAUGGUUUUGUCUUUAAAUAAAAUAAGGUUUUCCUAGAUAAGGUUCUAAUGAGGCAACAAUUGUUGAUCUUGCAAGAUCACAGAAAAGUAUAGAUCAUAAUUCUAUAUAAAUUUUAUAUUAUGUAAAUAUUAUGAUGAAUGAGGAGUGUUGAGAUCAUUAAUUGUAGUCGGCGCUCUCCAUAAUAUUUAUUGUAGACUAUAGUAAAUACCAUAGCUACAAUAUUUAGAGACUAGUGGAGAAGUACUGUUUAUCCUCUCCCCUUUUCUCUUCUUAUAUACAAGAUACAACCAGAUCAAUAGAUUUUUAUGUGUGAAGCUCUCUCUCCUUAUAAACCCUCUUGUGUAUAUGACUUACUACUACUCUUGUGUGUGUGUAUGACUUACUAUUACUCUUGUGUCUUUCUAAACAUUCUCAACAAUUUGAAGGAUCAAUUUUAGGUGUUUCUUUAGCAAUCUUUUAAAAAUUAUCUACUUGGUUUUUUUUUAAUAUAUAUAUAUAUUUUUUCUAAAAUAUUUCUAUUUAAAAUUUCUUUAAGAAUAAUAAUGAUUAUUUCUUUUUAAAAGACGUAAUUUGUUUGCAAUUUGAUAUAGCAAUUUGACUAGAUUUCUUAUUGCUGAUAUUUUCUAAUUUAUCUUUUAAGUAAUAAUGUCUUCUAUCCACAAUUCUAUCUUAUUAAAUAAAACUCUUUAUUUCUAUGCCAAAGACAGCAAGCCACAUAUUAAAUUGUUCUUAUAAAUGUUUAUUUUCCAUAAAACAGGUAAUAAUCACAUGUU
rnacentral:lncRNA from 1 species